UGGACGACAACCAGGCUUAAAGACCUGUCUCUGUUUAAUAACCAUAAGGCUAAAAGUAGACAAAUAUAGAUGUAUAGACCAAUUGUCUGACCAGUAAUAAGAUAGAGCUCAAACAAAAAACUGCCAUGGCUUUGCAAUGUCUCUAGACAAAGACAACCUACAGCUUAGAAAUUCUAAGACAAAGACUUGUUGGACGGUAAAAACAACUAACGAUUUGCCGUAUACAAAAAAAGACCAACUGCUUAGAAGAUUCUUAUUUCCACUUGGCUUAGAAGUAAGUUGAGAAAGUCUAUACAACGGACUUGUCGGAUGGUAGAAAAAAAAAACUAAAGGACUUGUUGUAUUGAUGAAAGGCCAACGGCAAAAAAAUUCACACCGCUAAGUUUCUUGACAGUAUGAAUCUACAACAGAGUUCUAUGUAACCACAUGGCUUAAAAGUCUUUUGAAAAAAAAAGACUAUGGGUCUGUUUUGGCAAAAUGGACAACGACCUAAAAAGGUCUCAAGACAAAGACUAUGAACCACAAGGUUUAAAAGUAUACAAGAACAAUAAGUUAGAUGGAUAGAACCACCAACACUUAAGACAAAGACAAUGGAAGAAUGGCCAAUUCAUUGUCUGAAAUCAGUGUUUAGACAGAGACUACGUACCAAUCUUGAGAAAGAAGCAUAGCACAAAGAUUAUUACCAAGUAUAUGCUUCAGAAGGUGUUCAAAACAUCAAAAUAUUUAGAGAUUCUGAGAAGAUUUCAAGUGUAGCAGACUUCUGUGACAGGUAUGUACUGCUGCUCUUAUGGACGCCCAAAAAGAUUUUUCUAACAUGUAUAAAUCAUGGGUGAAAUAUGGAUUUGGUACCCUCUUUAUAUUGGCUAAUUAUGCAUUUGAAUCAACGAUGCUCAAAUAAAGCCUUUUAGUGCUUCAAAGUAACCACCUCCGUGUUACGUAGAAGAAAACAUUGGUCACUUGAAACUCUACAGGUCUAUUUGCUUCUACAUCAACCUCAAAUCCUAUGUGGUGUAUCUCGGACCUCCAUACUUUCUGCGCAAUCACUUUAAAAUACAUAAAUACAUACAUGAGUUCAUAUAUGCAUAUAUACGUUGGCCAGACUAUGUCUUAUCCAAACCAAAAUUAACCAGACGACAGUAAAACAUUUGCUGACCUUCAUUUUUAGAUUGGAGAUUAUCUGGAUGUGGCAAUCUACUAGGAGGAGGUUUCUGUUUCUCGUUGUGAGAUUUUAGGUGUUGUAGGGACAAGGGAAAGGACAAAUAUUCAUUGUUGUUUCCCAUUUCAAAACUUCGUUGAGAC